rnacentral:rRNA from 1 species
GGAUGAACGCUGGCGGCGUGCUUAACACAUGCAAGUCGAACGAUGAUCCCAGCUUGCUGGGGGAUUAGUGGCGAACGGGUGAGUAACACGUGAGUAACCUGCCCUUGACUCUGGGAUAAGCCUGGGAAACUGGGUCUAAUACCGGAUACGACCAUCUGGCGCAUGUCAUGGUGGUGGAAAGCUUUUGUGGUUUUGGAUGGACUCGCGGCCUAUCAGCUUGUUGGUGGGGUAAUGGCCUACCAAGGCGACGACGGGUAGCCGGCCUGAGAGGGUGACCGGCCACACUGGGACUGAGACACGGCCCAGACUCCUACGGGAGGCAGCAGUGGGGAAUAUUGCACAAUGGGCGCAAGCCUGAUGCAGCGACGCCGCGUGAGGGAUGACGGCCUUCGGGUUGUAAACCUCUUUCAGUAGGGAAGAAGCGUAAGUGACGGUACCUGCAGAAGAAGCGCCGGCUAACUACGUGC